rnacentral:rRNA from 1 species
UCGGGAAUUUUGGGCAAUGGGCGAAAGCCUGACCCAGCAACGCCGCGUGAAGGAUGAAGUAUUUCGGUAUGUAAACUUCGAAAGAAUAGGAAGAAUAAAUGACGGUACUAUUUAUAAGGUCCGGCUAACUACGUGCCAGCAGCCGCGGUAAUACGUAGGGACCAAGCGUUGUUCGGAUUUACUGGGCGUAAAGGGCGCGUAGGCGGCAAUUCAAGUCAUCUGUGAAAUCUCCGGGCUUAACUCGGAACGGUCAGAUGAUACUGCUUUGCUAGAGUGCAGAAGGGGCAAUCGGAAUUCUUGGUGUAGCGGUGAAAUGCGUAGAUAUCAAGAGGAACACCUGAGGUGAAGACGGGUUGCUGGGCUGGACACUGACGCUGAGGCGCGAACGCCAGGGGAGCAAACGGGAUUAGAUACCCCCGUAGUCCCUGAGCGGGCUGGCAAGGCGCAU